AUUGAACGCUGGCGGCAUGCUUUACACAUGCAAGUCGAACGGUAACAGGGUGCUUGCACCGCUGACGAGUGGCGAACGGGUGAGUAAUGCGUCGGAACGUGCCGAGUAGUGGGGGAUAACGCAGCGAAAGUUGUGCUAAUACCGCAUACGUACUGAGGUAGAAAGUGGGGGACCUUCGGGCCUCACGCUAUUCGAGCGGCCGACGUCUGAUUAGUUAGUAGGUGCGGUAAGAGCUCACCUAGGCGACGAUCAGUAGCGGGUCUGAGAGGAUGAUCCGCCACACUGGGACUGAGACACGGCCCAGACUCCUACGGGAGGCAGCAGUGGGGAAUUUUGGACAAUGGGUGCAAGCCUGAUCCAGCCAUGCCGCGUGUCUGAAGAAGGCCUUCGGGUUGUAAAGGACUUUUGUCAGGGAGGAAAUCCUAGUGGCUAAUAACUGCUGGGGAUGACAGUACCUGAAGAAUAAGCACCGGCUAACUACGUGCCAGCCGCCGCCGUAAUAC
rnacentral:rRNA from 1 species